rnacentral:rRNA from 1 species
CCUGACCUAGCGGCGGACGGGUGAGUAAUGCUUAGGAAUCUGCCUAUUAGUGGGGGACAACAUUCCGAAAGGAAUGCUAAUACCGCAUACGCCCUACGGGGGAAAGCAGGGGAUCUUCGGACCUUGCGCUAAUAGAUGAGCCUAAGUCAGAUUAGCUAGUUGGUGGGGUAAAGGCCUACCAAGGCGACGAUCUGUAGCGGGUCUGAGAGGAUGAUCCGCCACACUGGGACUGAGACACGGCCCAGACUCCUACGGGAGGCAGCAGUGGGGAAUAUUGGACAAUGGGCGCAAGCCUGAUCCAGCCAUGCCGCGUGUGUGAAGAAGGCCUUUUGGUUGUAAAGCACUUUAAGCGAGGAGGAGGCUACUUGGAUUAAUACUCUAGGAUAGUGGACGUUACUCGCAGAAUAAGCACCGGCUAACUCUGUGCCAGCAGCCGCGGUAAUACAGAGGGUGCGAGCGUUAAUCGGAUUUACUGGGCGUAAAGCGUGCGUAGGCGGCUUCUUAAGUCGGAUGUGAAAUC